CCCCUCCCCCACGCCGCGGGAUCCCCUUCCCUGGCGGCGGCGCCCAUCUGUUUUCCUUCCAAUCCCACCAGCGGCACCCUCUCUCCGGUGUCCCUCUCCUUCACACGGCGCCUCCCUCCGCACGGCUUGGAGCCGACGUGGGACCGGAGCAGCUCGGGCACGCGCGCGUGGCGGGGCUGCGAGCGGGCGGGCCAUGGCGCGGCGCGGCGGGGCUGGGCUGCGCCCGCGGGUGGAGGCCGAGGCGCGCCGUGCGGGAGGAGGAGCGGCGCUUGGCACGGGGCGGCCUCCGAGCGAGUGUCGCGCGGCCCCUCGCGAGGCGCCACGGGCGUGCGGCCGAGUGUCGCUCCCUCGUGCAGCUUCUCGGCGGAGGUGGCCCUCGGUGCGGCUAUUCGGUCUGCCUUUCGUUUCGUCCCUCGUCUCGAGGCCGCCUUUCCCGCCGCGCCACGACUGCAGCCCGGCCGCACCAGCCAACUGCUCGGGACGCGUUGCGGCCAGGGGGUGGUGGUGAAGUCCGGCGGCCUGCCUUUCCAGCACGCGGCGCAGCCACUUCUGCUCUUUCUGAUGCAUGCGUUGCGACCGCACCGGACGAUCAAGGCGUGGAACCCUACUCCAAGUCCGCCAGCAACUAAUGACGAUGGCCCAUCGGACGCAUCACGUUGCAGCGAGAGGCCGGGUCAACUCCGGCGGCCUGCCCCUUCAGCACGGCGGAUAGGGACGCGAGGAGGUGGAACUUUGCUAGCUUGUGCGAUGGCCCGGCCGGCUGUUGAGGUUGUCCAAGUCCGGCGGACUGCCGAUUGGUAUGGUAUUGCGUUGCUGUGGUGAAGCGGUGGAGCCCAGCGGCCUAAAACCCUACGAAUCCCAGUGUGCGCUUACAUCUUGAACACACCCCCUUUGUAUUCAGGUUUUAGUUCUAUCAGGAGGUCAGUGCAUAUGCGUAUGUAGCAAUGUCAUAUGCUUAACAGUACAUUUGGGCAAGAAGCUAAGUUCGUUCAUGCCGUUUUGAUGAGCACAUGCUAUCAAAUGCAGGUAACAGCUAUUCUCUCAUUUACCGUCGAGCUCAGCUCAUCGUGCUGUAGUUUUUCCUUUUCUUUUCCAAAGGAACUUACUCAGUCAGUUGGUCAAAACAUCAGAUUGUGAAUAAAGUGUGUUAGUUUAGUAUAUUUUUUCGGAUUAAUGUACCAAGUUAACUAUGCUGGUGUUUUUUCUACCCUAAUUACUAACGUUGAGUUGUUAUAUGGUAAUUGUCCAUUUGUUUUUCCAUACCAGCGUUAAGUUUAAUAAUGGUAUAAUAUACCUGGGUUGCGAUCACUAUGAUUGUUUAUUUCCAGGGCCACCAGAUUCUACCUACAACAUAUAGUGUUUUUUCCUUUGCACCGCAUAUCAUGUUUGGUCCAUUCAGUUAAACCAGUUCAGUGCUACAUGUAUGUUAAAGCAUUAAGAAACAGCUACUUUCUUAUACACCUCUAUUGAUAAUCAAUGUUUGAGCCUCAUGGUGCUUUUGCUAAUCAGCUUGGCUAAUCAGUUAAAGAAAAAUGCAAUGAAGGCUAAGAUCCCCAUUUACGUGGGCUGUUGUAACUCUCAACUUCAGUUAUUUGUUAAUUCUAUUUUUAUAUCUGUUCUAACUGUCAUUUGGCAGCUAUAUGGAGCCUCAUCCAGUGAAAACUGCUGUUGAGGGUUUGAAGAGGUACGGGGAAAAAAAUUGUGAUGUCAUAUUUGAGGGUACAAGUGGAAGGCACAUACAAGAAGUGCAGCACUCUUUGAAGAAAUGUGAUAACCUUCUGAAGCAACAGUAUGUACAAUUGAAAUUUACAAAUAAGUAUACCCAGCAUCUAUUUAAUCCUCGUGAGAGUGAUUGGGGUUUCUCAUCUUUUAUGCCUUUGAGCUAGGGGAAGCACCUGUCUCCUCAAUAUUUCCAUUCAUUGUUUCAAUUAACUGAUAUUUGAUCAGAUUGGAGCAAUUGAAUUAGAGUAGGCAUAUAGGAGGUUGAUCAGCUAGCAAGGAAUACCUUAUCAGAUCCACAUUUCAAGAGAAACAGAACAAAGAUUCAGAAACAGAAGAGUAGAAGAAAGGGGAAGUCUGAGCUUUGGAGGUGAAACAAACAAGAAAAAUCAAAUUUCAGAGAUUUGAGCAUCUUUGCUGAAUUUUAGAGACAAGAUUUAGUGUAUUUGAAUUAACAUAUGUUCAGCUGUAAUUUAUCAGAGCUAACUUAGUUAUGUAAAUAUAAGUAAAGGUUUGAGCAAUCCAUGUUGAACGUAGUGUGUAUGAAUGUGUUCUGUCAGUAGAGUAGUAGACUGGUAUAAUACAAAGGGAUUAUGAUAUUGUGAUUCAAGUUUAUUUCAUCAAGAUAUUUUGUAUGGUUUAGUAAUA